AGCCUGUUGCUUUUUAUAAUAGGUGUUUUCUGCCCGGUGUUGUUUAUAAACGGCCGCGGUAUUUUGACCGUGCAAAGGUAGCAUAAUCAUUUGUUCUUUAAUUGGGGACUGGAAUGAAAGAAAUUUUGAGGCCUUAACUGUCUCUUUUUUAGUAGUUGUAAUUUGCUGUUUUUGUGAAGAAGCAAAGAUCUUCAAAAAAGACAAGAAGACCCUAUUAAGCUUUACUUUUAUUUUUCUAUAGUUUUCUUUUAAGUAUUUUUUUAGGUAAUAAAAAGUUUGGUUGGGGUGACUAAAAAAGACAAAGAUCUUUUUUCUUUAAAAAACUAUAUGUUAAAAAAUGACCCAAGACUUCUUGGUUUAAAGAAUUAGUUACUAUAGGGAUAACAGCGUAAUCUUUUCAUAGAGUUCUUAUUGAAGAAAAGGAUUGCGACCUCGAUGUUGACUUAUUUUUACCUUUAAAGGUGCAGAAGCUAGAAGGGUUGGUCUGUUCGACCAUUAAAAUAAU
rnacentral:rRNA from 1 species